rnacentral:misc_RNA from 1 species
UUACCACCAAGAAUAUCACUGAUAUGAUAUGUGGCAUUUUCGUGAUAUACGGAAGUGUACAACUAGACGUAAAUAAGCCAAAUCUCGAGGAUUACCCGAAUGUUCCACACCUUACCCCAUAAAUAGGCUCGUAAUGCCUACCAUGAUAGGCAAUCCAGUUUCUCAUUUUUCUAUUAAUCAUUAUUCAUUGCUCUUAAGCACUUGCUGACUUGAGCAUCUGACUAGACAUAUGUAGGCCACAGACCUCACACCUCUGCUUGCUUUGCUUGCAGGCCAUCCGAAGUCCAUUCAACAACCCGAGAACCACAGGCAGCAUCAAUAAGUAAGCUCCCAUUUAUACUUUAUUGAAUCCUAUAACUGUUCUCUACAAUUACAACUGACUGGAAAGUAAUUACAAUUGACUAAUACUAUAG